UCCGAACUGUGCAUUCUAUUAUCUGACAAUCUGGAUGACAAUCUGACACCAACGUACUUUGUACCUUGUGAUAUAUUUUUUUUUCAUUUUCAUCUUUUUUCUUACGUUUCUUCUUCAAAAUAUGAAUUUACGUCAGUUCAUUGAACUAUAUAGCGUUUGAAAAUAGAGGAUGCAUGAUCCGGUUAGUUUUUGUUAUUUGGUCUUUUUUUUUUUAAUCUUUUUAUACGAUGUUUUUUUACAUUAGGUCGUGUUUGUUUUCUUAUUCUGCUCUCAGGUUCGUCUCAUAUGUUUUUUUACAAAAAAAAAAAGUGAACCUUGACUCAACACAUACUCAGACUGACGAACCUAACUUCAUUUUAUAAGGAUAAUUUCGUUUACUCCUAUCCCAAAUAAACGUAACUCAUUUUUUCUGCCUGAAUUACCAUUUGGGGGGAGGGUCGACAGUUUAAAUGUAGAUAAUAUGCAAUCUCAUUCGAUUGACAGCUACGAGCGUUUUAAUCCUUUGUUUGUUUUUUUCUAAUGUAUUAAAUGACAUACCUUUCAAAGGUUCUGCAAGUGUGAUAGAAGUUAUAUUUGAAAUAUAUGCAAAUAUAAAUAUGAAAUAUGGUUUAAGAAUUGAAUUAUCGAUGUAUGUAUGAUAAUAUGAUAAUGAACUGUAAAUUCAUACUGUAGGAUGAUCGAUUGAUGAAACGAUGAUCCACAGCUUGUUGAAGUGAGUUGAAUGUGAUUGAACUUGAAUUUGUGAUUCAAGUUGUUGUAUUGCGGAAGCGUUUGCAGAUUAGCUAUUCCAGUUGCAGAAUGAUCAGACAGAGUAACACAAAGUCUGUAAUUGUAAUACAGAGUGUGUGGGUGUGUGUGAUCGUGUGUUAAACUUAAACUAGGAUUAGGUAUGUUUAUAUAGAGGAACACCCAACGGCUAUGUUGGUUGGGUGUAUUUAAUUAUGGUAAUUAAUGUAUAUAGGAAUGUGUAAUAUGGACUUGGGAAUUAAUAUAAGAUUGAAUAUUUGAUUGAUAUUUGGAUAUGAAAAGAUGUAAUGAGAAUGUGAAGAGUUGUGAUGAAAUAAGAGGG
rnacentral:lncRNA from 1 species